GAUGAACGCUGGCGGCGUGCCUAAUACAUGCAAGUCGAGCGAACAGAUGAGGAGCUUGCUCCUCUGACGUUAGCGGCGGACGGGUGAGUAACACGUGGAUAACCUACCUAUAAGACUGGGAUAACUUCGGGAAACCGGAGCUAAUACCGGAUAAUAUAUUGAACCGCAUGGUUCAAUAGUGAAAGACGGUUUUGCUGUCACUUAUAGAUGGAUCCGCGCCGCAUUAGCUAGUUGGUAAGGUAACGGCUUACCAAGGCAACGAUGCGUAGCCGACCUGAGAGGGUGAUCGGCCACACUGGAACUGAGACACGGUCCAGACUCCUACGGGAGGCAGCAGUAGGGAAACUUCCGCAAUGGGCGAAAGCCUGACGGAGCAACGCCGCGUGGGUGAUGAAGGUCUUCGGAUCGUAAAACUCUGUUAUUAGGGAAGAACAAAUGUGUAAGUAACUAUGCACGUCUUGACGGUACCUAAUCAGAAAGCCACGGCUAACUACGUG
rnacentral:rRNA from 1 species